UGCUUAUGCACUGCCAGUAGAGGGGUGGCUCACCCUUUUUCUUGCCAGCCCAUUCUGAAUCUGGGCAUUUCUCCUGGGAAGUUCUUCCUCAGAUGGAGUGGAGGGCAGUGGCUUGGUCUGUCACAUUCACUUCUGGCAUGUAAUAUGUGCUCAACGAAUGAAUAAGUGAAUGGAUUACUCAGUAUGUGCCAGGUGCUGUGCUAAGUAAUUUGCGUCCAUUGUCUCAUGAAAGUCUCAAGGAUUCUUUAAGGGUGAUUGCUAGCUCCACACUCACACCGCCCAAAUGCUGAGGAGAUGAACCCUGAUGUAGGCCGAGGCCUCUGGGUGCUCACUGUCCCUGUCUCUGAAAGGUCAGCUGUUCCUGAAAGGAACCCUUCCAGCCUUCUAUUUCCAGCACAGUCUUUUCCUCCACAUUGAUUGCCUUCUGUUGAGCAGACCAGAUUGAGGAGAUCGAUGACAUUAAUUUGCACUGAGAAGAAGUUGGUGAUUUUCCUCCUUCAGCUGUGACAAGGCUGCCUGAGGCUUUUGGUCAGAAAAAGAUGCCAGCUUUAAAAAAUCUCUGCAGAAGUUUUCUCAGAAGAAUCGCAGAAUCUUGGAGCAGGAAGAAGCUUCCAGAAGACUUAAUUUUAUCCAAUUUCUUCACGGCGGAUGAAGGCACACGGAGCCCACAGUAUGGAAAGAGUGUGCCUCAGGAAACAGAGCUGAACACUUGCUCUUUUCAUGUUUUCCUCUUUUAUCUGGACCUUGGCCCCCCGGGUAGGAGGCACCUGGGGCUGGCUGAGGCACAGGAUGAGUGGAGAGGAAGGCUCUGUGGGAGCCACUCCCAUAGCCCAGAUUUAGCAGAGAUUCCGUUCGGAAGGAUUCUGGCGAAACAGCGUGAGUUGACAACUCUGCUUCUGAAUAGUACAUUAUUUAUUCAGUGCCAGCCACGAGCCCGGCAGGUGAUGAGCUAAACUAAACUUGCUGGCACACACACGCAGAACUCAGGAACAGCAGAGUGAUGGCAGCCUCAUCUCAAAGUGGCUCCUUCAAGGAGGAGGACUAAGAGUGUUAAG
rnacentral:lncRNA from 10 species